rnacentral:rRNA from 1 species
UACGUAGGGUGCAGGCGUUUAAUCGGAAUUACUGGGCGUAAAGCGUGCGCAGGCGGCUCCUUAAGUCAGAUGUGAAAUCCCCGGGCUUAACCUGGGAACUGCGUUUGAAACUGAGGGGCUUGAGUGUGGAAGAGGGGGGUGGAAUUCCAGGUGUAGCAGUGAAAUGCGUAGAGAUCUGGAGGAACACCGAUGGCGAAGGCAGCCCCCUGGGCUAACACUGACGCUCAUGCACGAAAGCGUGGGGAGCAAACAGG